UACGAAGGGGGCUAGCGUUGUUCGGAUUUACUGGGCGUAAAGCGCACGUAGGCGGAUUGUUAAGUCGGGGGUGAAAUCCUGGAGCUCAACUUCAGAAUUGCCUUCGAUACUGGCUUUCUAGAGGCUGGAAGAGGUUAGUGGAAUUCCCAGUGUAGAGGUGAAAUUCGUAGAUAUUGGGAAGAACACCAGUGGCGAAGGUGGCUAACUGGUCCAGAUCUGACGCUGAGGUGCGAAAGCGUGGGGAGCAAACAGGG
rnacentral:rRNA from 1 species